GCAAGCCUGAUGCAGCCAUGCCGCGUGUGUGAAGAAGGCCCUAGGGUUGUAAAGCACUUUCAGCGAGGAGGAAAGGUUAUAGUUUAAUAGACUAUAGCUGUGACGUUACUCGCAGAAGAAGCACCGGCUAACCUUCGUGCCAGCAGCCGCGGUAAUACGAGGGGUGCAAGCGUUAAUCGGAAUUACUGGGCGUAAAGCGUACGCAGGCGGUUUGUUAAGCGAGAUGUGAAAGCCCCGGGCUCAACCUGGGAACUGCAUUUCGAACUGGCAGACUAGAGUAUGAUAGAGGGUGGUAGAAUUUCAGGUGUAGCGGUGAAAUGCGUAGAGAUCUGAAGGAAUACCGAUGGCGAAGGCAGCCACCUGGGUCAAUACUGACGCUCAUGUACGAAAGCGUGGGGAGCAAACGGGAUUAGAUACCCCGGUAGUCCACGCCGUAAACGAUGUCUACUAGGAGCUGGAAUCUUCGGAUGACUUUUCCAAAGCUAACGCAUUAAGUAGACCGCCUGGGGAGUACCGGCCGCAAGGUUAAAACUCAAAUGAAUUUGACGGGGGCCCGCACAAGCCGGGGAGCAUGUGGUUUAAUUCGAUGCAACGCGAAAAACCUUACCUACACUUGGCAUCCAGAGAAGAGACUUGAGAUUGACUUGGGCCUUCUGGAACUCUGAGACAGGUGCUGCAUGGCUUGUC
rnacentral:rRNA from 1 species